GUACGGGUUGUGAGAGCAAGAGCCCGGAGAUGGAUUCUGAGACACGAAUCCAGGCCCUACGGGGUGCAGCAGGCGCGAAAACUUUACAAUGCUGGCAACAGCGAUAAGGGAACCUCGAGUGCCAGGUUACAAAUCUGGCUGUCGAGAUGCCUAAAAAGCAUUUCAUAGCAAGGGCCGGGCAAGGCCGGUGCCAGCCGCCGCGGUAACACCGGCGGCUCGAGUGGUAACCGUUAUUAUUGGGUCUAAAGGGUCUGUAGCCGGCCGGAUAAGUCUCUUGAGAAAUCUGGCAGCUUAACUGUCAGGCUUUCAGGAGAUACUGUCUGGCUCGAGGCCGGGAGAGGUGAGAGGUACUUCAGGGGUAGGGGUGAAAUCUUGUAAUCCUUGAAGGACCACCAGUGGCGAAGGCGUCUCACCAGAACGGACCUGACGGCAAGGGACGAAAGCUAGGGGCACGAACCGGAUUAGAUACCCGGGUAGUCCUAGCCGUAAACGAUACUCGCUAGGUGUCGGCCACGGUGCGACCGUUGUCGGUGCCGUAGGGAAGCCGUGAAGCGAGC
rnacentral:rRNA from 1 species